rnacentral:rRNA from 1 species
CAGCACCUCAAGUGGUCAGGAUGAUUAUUGGGCCUAAAGCAUCCGUAGCCGGCUCUGUAAGUUUUCGGUUAAAUCUGUAUGCUCAACAUACAGGCUGCCGGGAAUACUGCAGAGCUAGGGAGUGGGAGAGGUAGACGGUACUCGGUAGGAAGGGGUAAAAUCCUUUGAUCUAUUGAUGACCACCUGUGGCGAAGGCGGUCUACCAGAACACGUCCGAUGGUGAGGGAUGAAAGCUGGGGGAGCAAACCGGAUUAGAUACCCGAGUAGUCC